CUCUAGCCCUGAUUGCAGCGGCAUCCUUUUGCGGAGCGUAGCGGAGCAAAAGAUAUAGCGAAAACCUAACGAAGU
rnacentral:sRNA from 1 species